rnacentral:rRNA from 1 species
UUGGGACCAGGAUUAGAUACCCUGUUACUUUUAAUAAAAUAGUUUUGGAAUAAUAGUAUUAAUGAAAUUUAACGGAUUUGGCGGCAAGAUAGCCCCUUAGAGGAACCUGCCCUGUAAACGAUGAACCACGAAGAAACAUUACUUUUUUUUGAGAUCAGUUUGUAUAUCGCUGUUGUCAGUUAGAUUCUAGAGAAUAUUUUCAUUUAUGAUAAAGUCAUUGACUUCAAGUAAAGGUGCAGCUUAUAGAAAAGAAAGAGGUGGGUUACAUUUAAAAGAAUAAAACGGAUAAGGUGAGUGAAAAAACCUUUGAAGGUGGAUUUAACUGUAAAACUUAAGAAAGUUUGGUGGGAGCUCUAUCUUGUGUACACACCGCCCGUCGCUCUCUUUUUUAAA